ensembl:lncRNA
UUUUGGAAUUGUUAGUUAGAUUACUUGUUGGUUAUUACUGCAUUGUCGGAACUAGAAGCACAAGCAUUUCGCUACACUCGCAUUAACAUCUGCUAACCAUGUGUAUGUGACAAAUAAAAUUUGAUUUGAUUUGAUUUGAUGGUUGAGAUAUCCCUCUAGUGGUUUGGGGGUUUGGGGGCAAAGUGGGUGGGGUUAUAUCCUGCCUGUUUGGCCCUGCCCGGGGGUAUCGUCGGACGGGGCCACAGUGUCUCCUGACCCAUCCUGUCUCAGCCUCCAGUAUUUAUGCUGCAAUUGUUUAUGUGUCGGGGGGCUAGGGUCAGUCUGUUAUAUCUGGAGUAUUUAUCUUGUCUUAUCCGGUAUCCUGUGUGAAUUUAAGUAUGCUCUCUCUAAUUCUCUCUCUCUCUUUCUCUCUCUCUCUCUCUCUCUCUCUCUCUCUUUCUUUCUUUCUUUCUUUCUUUCUUUCUCUCUCUCUCUCUCUCUCUCUCAGAGGACCUGAGCCCUAGGACCGUGCCUCAGGACUACCUGGCCUGAUGACUCCUUGCUGUCCCCAGUCCACCUGGUCGUGCUGCUGCUCCAGUUUCAACUAUUCUGCCUGCGGCUAUGGAACCCUGACCUGUUCACCGGACGUGCUACCCUUCCCAGACCUGCUGUUUUCAACUCCCUAGAGACAGCAGGAGCGGUAGAGACUCUCUGAAUGAUAUGCUAUGAAGAGCCAACUGACAUUUACUCCUGAGGUGCUGACCUGUUGCACCCUCUACAACCACUGUGAUUAUUAUUGUUUGACCCUGCCGGUCAUCUGUGAACAUCUUGGUCAUGUUCUGUUAUAAUCUCCACCUGGCACAGCCAGAAGAGGACCGGCCACCCCUUAUAGCCUGGUUCCUCUCUAUAGGUUUCUUCCUAGGUUCUGGCCUUUCUAGGGAGUUUUUCCUAGCCACUGUGCUUCUACACCUGCAUUGCUUGAGUUUGGGGUUUUAGGCUAGGUUUCUGUACAGCACUUUGUGACAUCAGCUGAUGUACGAAGGGCUUUAUAAAUACAUUUGAUUGAUUGAUUAAUCUUACCCAUUAGGAUUAACACUGCAGUUUUGGAGAGCUAACAGCAGUUUUGGAGAACUAACACAGCAGGUUUGGAGAGCUUACCCAUCGGUUUAGGAUAAUUUACCCUGCAGGUUAGGGGAGCUUACACAGCAGGUUAUGAGAGCUGAUCUGAUCUAAUCUGAUGUUUAGGAGAGCUAACACUGCAGAUAGGGUUAAUUAACACAGCAGGUUAGGAGAACGUACUCAGCAGUGUGGGAGAAUCAACCCUGCAGUUUACAAGAAUUUACACAGCAGGUUAGGAGAACAAACAAAGCAGGUCAGGAGGACUUACCCAGCUUAACCCAGCAGGAGAAUUAACACAGCAGGUUAGGAGAACUUACGCAGCAGGUUAGGAGAAUUAACACAGCAUGUUAGGAUAAUUUUUACUUUAACUUUACCUACAUGUACAUAUUACCUCAAUUUCCUAAACUAACCGGCGCCCCUGCGCAUUGACUCUCUAGCGGGUUCCCCUGUAUAUAACCUCGCUACUGUUAUUCUACUGCUGCUCUUUUAACUUUUUACUCAUCUAUUUUUUACUUAACACUUUUUCUUAAAACUGCAUUUUUGGUUAAGAGCUUGUAUGUAAACAUUUCACUGUAAGGUGAACAACACCUGUUGUCUUCUGCGCAUGUGACAAAUACAAUUUUAUUUUAAUUUAAUUGAAUUAGGUUCAUGUUAGGAAAAGGGUUAGGGUUAGCUAAAAUUCACAAAACAAAUCUACUUUUGACGUUAAUUUGACAAAAGCAGGAUCCCUUCUAGCCUUGACCUGAUUUCCCGGAUGGAUGUCAAUUUACAGUUUCAAAAACGUGUUGGGGUGAUUCUCCGUCAACUUACUGGAAUGGACCAGCCAGCAACUGGCAUUCUUACCUUAGAAUGAGACCACCUGAAAAUGUCAAUUAGAAAUGUCUGCCAAAUGGAACAGGUGAGAGAGGAUGCAUUGUGCUGGACAGGUACUGUAGGCCUGUAAAUAUUUUGUAUCUUACCUUGGUCAACUGUUUUGUCAAUUUCAUUCUGCCGUGAGUCCUUUGAUGGGACUACAGAGCCAGUGUCAAUGCUUUUCCAGGAAUGCUAUCAUGGUCAAGAUAAUUAACUUCAACCAGAGAUGGGUCAACCUUGUUUCUUCUGAUGUGAUCUUCCUGUCUGGGUUGCUCCCCCCCCCCCCUUGGGUUGUGCUGUGGCAGAGAUAUUUGUGGGCUAUACUCGGCCUUGUCUCAGGACGGCAAGUUGGUGGUUGAAGGACCUGAGCCCUAGGACCAUGCCUCAGGACUAUCUGGCAUGAUGACUCCUUGCUGUCCCCAGUCCACCUGGCCAUGCUGCUGCUCCAGUUUCAACUGUUCUGCCUGCGGCUAUGGAAUCCUGACCUGUUCACCGGACAUGCUACCUGUCCCAGACCUGCUGUUGUCAACUCUCUAGAGACAGCAGGAUUGGUAGAGAUAAUCUUAAUGAUCGGCUAUGAAAAGCCAACUGACAUUUAGUCCUGAGGUGCUGACUUGCUGCACCCUCGACAACUACUGUGAUUAUUAUUAUUUGAUUAUUAUUAUUUCAUAGCCUGGUUCCUCUCUAGGUUUCUUCCUAGGUUUUGGCCUUUCUAGGGAGUUUUUCCUAGCCACCGUUCUUCAACACCUGCAUUGCUUGCUGUUUGCGGUUUUAGGCUGAGUUUCUGUACAGCACUUUGAGAUAUCAGCUGAUGUACGAAGGGCUAUAUAAAUACAUUUGAUUUGAUUAUACAUCGUGUGGUUCGAGCCCUGAAUGCUGAUUGGCUGACAGCCGUGGUAUAUCAGACCUUAUACCACGGGGAAUGACAAAACAUUUAUUUUUACUGCUCUAAUUACAUUUCUAACCAAUUUAUAAUAGCUAUAAGGCACCUCGGGAUUUGUGGUAUAUGGCCAAUAUACCACAGUUAAGGGCUGUGUCCAGGCACUCCACGAUGCGUCGCGCCUAAGAACAGCCGUUAGCCGUGGUAUAUUGGCAAUAUACCACACCCCUCGUGAUUUAUUGCUUGAGUGCGAAAUUCUCAAGAUAUCAGCAACAUGCUAACUGUGGAAGCCAUCAGCUAUUACAUUGUUUUUAAUGUGCGUCACAUCUCACGCUGAGGAUUGUGGGGUAAAAUGAAUGAUGGCUAUGGCAGUUUCUGUGGGGGAGCAGUGCAGAUGUAGAAAGUGUGCAGAUCAUUACAGAUGGCAUGAGGGAGGGCUUCAUUAAAACCCAGGCCCCUUUGUUCAUGUUCUUUAUUUAUGGCACUCUUAUCACUCUGGUCCAUGCUAAAUAUAAUUUGAUUACAACGUCAUGCUGUCAUUUUGGUCCACAUUUUUGCAGAAACUGGGAUUGACUAUUGAUAGUUAUCUCUCAAAAUCUGCAAAAUUGCAAAAUCAUUAUGAAGUACUGCUCAGUGAAUUUUUCAGUGAAAGAAAAGGCUAAAUUAAAAAUAUAUGCUUUAGUGAUCUGCCCACAUAGUUUCAACGUUGAUCCAAACGGCAGGGGGUUUCCUCCUUGUGUGUAAAGGUCAUCUGCUGUGUUUUCUAAUUUGCUGACACUAGUCUGGGGACUUUAAAGAGGGAGAUUUCUUUGUGACCAACUUACCACGGAGGGUAAUAAUAGCCGUAUCUCGACCUGGGAAAUCUUCAACGCCCCAAUGCCCCCAUCAACUGCGUGAACCCAUUACUGGCGGAUGUGUCUCAUUUCAAAUAUUAUUCCAUUUCCCCCUCUUCUGUCUGCCCAUAAAGAACUCCCAUGUCUCCUGAAUAGCUUAUAAUAACAUGUUUUAAGAAGCCCACCCUUAGUGCCCCAAAGGAUCCAGCAUUGCAAUGCAGCAGUCUGCUAUAUAAUAUCCAUGCUUUUCUGUGUGUAAUUAAAGGUCAGUUUGGGUUAUAGCCCUGUGUUGCCUUGAAUGACAAAUCUCCCAUGCUUUCUCUCUCUUCCCGAAACGUGAUGGCUUUGCCAAAUGUGAUUAAAUCUAUUUUUGCGCCAUCUGUUUUCUUGGCACUAAAAUGCAUUAGUUGAAAGUGUACCUCUUACCAGCACACUAAAAUGUCUCAUCAG